UACAGAGGUCCCAAGCGUUGUCCGGAAUCAUUGGGCGUAAAGCGCGCGUAGGCGGCCCGGUAAGUCCGCUCUGAAAGUCCAGGGCUCAACCCUGGAAAGCGGGUGGAUACUGCCGGGCUAGAAUCCGGAAGAGGAGAGUGGAAUCCCUGGUGUAGCAGUGAAAUGCGCAGAUAUCAGGAAGAACACCAAUGGCGAAAGCAGCUCUCUGGGACGGUACUGACGCUGAGACGCGAAAGCGUGGGGAGCGAACAGG
rnacentral:rRNA from 1 species